rnacentral:rRNA from 1 species
AUUGAACGCUGGCGGCAUGCCUUACACAUGCAAGUCGAACGGUAACAGGUUAAGCUGACGAGUGGCGAACGGGUGAGUAAUGUAUCGGAACGUGCCCAGUCGUGGGGGGAUAACGUAGCGAAAGCUACGCUAAUACCGCAUACGAUCUAUGGAUGAAAGCGGGGGAUCGCAAGACCUCGCGCGAUUGGAGCGGCCGAUAUCAGAUUAGGUAGUUGGUGGGGUAAAGGCCCACCAAGCCGACGAUCUGUAGCUGGUCUGAGAGGACGACCAGCCACACUGGGACUGAGACACGGCCCAGACUCCUACGGAGGCAGCAGUGGGGAAUUUUGGACAAUGGGCGCAAGCCUGAUCCAGCAAUGACCGCGUGCAGGAUGAA